rnacentral:lncRNA from 1 species
AUAAGUACAGAAGUGUACAUGUGUACAAUAGGUGCAAAAGUGUACAUGUGUACAAUAGGUAUUCUAAUGUAUAUGUGUACAUUAAAAUAGUAGUGCACAUGUGUAUAAUAAUAACCAAUAAUUAGUUCAAGCUAACAUGAAAACACACACUAAUCAUUAUUAUUGCAUACAACAAGGGUUAAAAUGCAUAUUUAGAAGUUUGGAGUCAAUGAAAGAAGACAAAUCUAUGUAUUCAAUAAUUUAUGGUCAAGUUAAAAACAUAACUAAACAUCAAUGACUUAAAGUGAAAAUAAAAGAAAUUUGAUUUGGUGGAGAUCAAUCGUUAACAUCUUCAUCUUCGUUCUAACCUAGCUGCUAACGUAAGGAGACAAGAACAGUCCCGAGUGAUCGCGUUUGUUAUUCACCACAAAACCAGUUGCUCUCGUGCCACGUCCAUAAGAAGCUUCGCUACAGCCGCUAUGAAGCAUCACCACCGGAGUCGUCACUCUCACCGGAGGUAGGUAGAGUCGAAUAUCGUUGUUGUGUCAGAGCCACUGAAAAUUUUCAUCAUCGUUGAUGAUUGUAUCUGAGACAGUAGAGACUCUUCAGCAAUUUCAAUGAAAACUCAUUUCUGUUAAAGCCAAAACACCACCUAAAUAAGAGAAACCGAAGAGCAAAAAAAUGACUAAAAUAUCACCUAAUUCGUUAUAGAAAUACAUUGAAAUUGCCAAAUAUGAUUUUCUUCUCUUAGUAAAACAGGAUCGUUUAUUUGUUGGUGCUUGAUAAACAUUAUCCCCAUGAAAGUGUUGUUGUUGGUCGUUCAUAAUCAGAAGAAAAAGAAAACCAGAUAACAAAGACAAUAAUUGAAGAAAAUUUCUCUGAAUUUUGUUUCUGAAGAAUCAAAUCCAAUUUACAAAAAAAAAAGGGAAUUUGGGAGGAGGAAGAUAACGAUAAAAAAAUGACUAAGAAAAUAAGAAAUAAGCUUAAAUGACAAAUAAUCUGGGCUGUCCAAAAUAAAAGGUAGUAAAGUG